AUUAAUACCGCAUAAUAUGCCGAAGUCGCAUGACUUUGGUAUUAAAGCAGCAAUGCACUUAGAGAUGAGUGUGCGUCCCAUUAGGGUAGUUGGUGAGGUAACGGCUCACCAAGCCUAUGAUGGGUAGCCGGUCUGAGAGGAUGGUCGGCCACACGGGCACUGAGACACGGGCCCGACUCCUACGGGAGGCAGCAGUAAGGAAUAUUGGUCAAUGGUGGAAACACUGAACCAGCCAUGCCGCGUGGAGGAAUAAGGUCCUACGGAUUGUAAACUCCUUUUGACGAGGAAGAAAAUGUUAGAUUUAUCUAAUUUUGACGGUACUCGUAGAAUAAGCACCGGCUAACUCCGUG
rnacentral:rRNA from 1 species